rnacentral:misc_RNA from 1 species
UCAAACUUGGUCAUUUAGAGGAAGUAAAAGUCGUAACAAGGUUUCCGUAGGUGAACCUGCGGAAGGAUCAUUAACGAAUCGUACCCAAGUCGGCUCCUCCUGUGCUGGCCAGAAUCGUUGGCAAUGUGCACGUUGGGCCGCAAAAACCAUCCACACACCUUGUGAACCUUCAGACCGUUGCGGAGUUCGUCGGCUUUUGGUCGGCUUGAGCUCUUCCUCGGUUCUUUUUACAAACGCUUGCAUGUGAUUGAGAAUGUUCGAGCGUGCUUAGGCACACAGAGAGAAAUACAACUUUCAACAACGGAUCUCUUGGCUCUCGCAUCGAUGAAGAACGCAGC